GGCAUGAGCUUGAGCACUGAGCUCUGAGCUCUGGAGCAACAAUCAGUGCUACUUUAUGUUCUGUUCAUAUACGAGUAGGUACUAUAAGUUAAGUAUAUUAUGGUUGUUGAUUUUGUUCUGUUUGUGAAAUCCAACCCUCAUUUAUGGUCGCACAGCCCCGGUUUAGUUCGGUGCCCGCCGCUGAGAGUACCCGGUCUAACGCAACGCAUCAACCAAAACAAGACAAAUCAAAAGGGGGUUGUGGCGGCGGUCGCGGUGGCGGUGUUGGGUGGUUUCAAGAAUAGACAAUUGAAUAAAUUUACAAACAUUAACUUGGAAAUAAUUUUAUGUCUUAAAAUAUUCAUAUCUUAUUCAGUUUGCUUUACAAUAUGAGGUCUGCUCUCUAGAAGAAUCAAAUAAAAGAAUAAGUAUCUUUCUAUAUAAAGUAUAUAAUAUAAAAUAAUGGACGACGACGACGAUGACGAGUGGGAGAGAUGAUGAUUUGAAAUUCUAUGAAGCGAGCGCGAGCUCGGCUCAGCUCAGCAGUAGCGGCAAAGUGGAAUAAGAUGAUGGUGAAUUAUUUGAAUUGAAUGUUUAUUCUUAUUAAAUCAGCCGUGAACUUCCUGGGCAUUCGAAUUGACAACAAUUUAUAUAUUGUCAACUACGACGACGACGACGAUGUCGACAUUAGAUUCAGAAUCAGAAUCAGCAUCAACAUUAACGGUAUUGUGUGAACGAAAAUGGUACGUCUACGAUAUUAUCGUACAAACACAACACACGCAGAAGUGAAAGGGAAAUUUUUGUUGUCAUUGUGACGAUUUAACUUAAUAAAAGUGGGGAAUUUCAUGACCUAAACAAUGGAUGUUAAUAAACUGGAAAUAAAAAGUGUUUUGAAAAUAACA